GGUCUGCAGCCUUGAAAUUGCCCUCGGUUGACUUGUACUCUGGGCAUAUUGGGUUUGCAAAGAGUAUAUAACUGAGGAAGCCGAGGCAGGAGUGCAAAGAAAGCAGCAGCAGCUCCAUGUGCAAUAUUCCUCUGACAUAUUUUGCACUGUUGCCACUCUGUCAGCAGUAAGAGUGAAGUUGCAGUGUGCUAUUGGU